CAGAAGUGCUUUCUAUGGUCAAACUGAUGUUUGCAAAAUUCUAAUUGAAUCAGGAGCAAACAAGGAUAUUCAAAGUGUAGAUGGGGCAACGGCAUUGUACGUAAGUGCUCAAAAUGGUCAUACAGAUGCGUGUGAAGUUCUUAUUCAAUCAGGAGCCAACAAGGAUAUUCAAUU